GUGUAAUUCAUGUUUUAGAAGAGAGCCAAGUAAUCAAGUAAUUGAUAUUAGUCUUGUGCAAACAUGCGUAGAUUAGAAGGAAUUUUUUUGUGGGGGAAAUGCCUGAAACACAUUUUUGCAUAAUUGUAAUGGUUACUUGAAACAAGCAUGUUAAACCUGAAAGUCAGAAUAUAUGUUAACCACUUCACUGUCAGGUUAUUUUGCUUAAACUCUCAAGGACGGAGGCAAUUGUACAAGUU